AUGGCAGCAAACUCCCAAAUAUAUCUGCGAUCUCACACAGGUAUCUCUGAAAAGGAGCUAUGUAAACUUCAAACUUGUAUGCAUGAACUCCAUAUGGCUAGAGCUACCAGCUGCGUGCAGAUACGAAACCACCUCAGCACACCCGACAGAAGAGCCCUGUGUCAGACACAUCCGACGAGUCUGCCCUCGAGCAGCCCCCAAGGGAGCCACAAGCUGGUGGUCAGGCAGUUGCGUGGAGAGAAGGGCGGCUCAGCGCAUGCUAUCUUCAGCCACUUCAGAGACCAGUCUUUCCACAAAAUAAAAAAGAAUAUAGAUAUUUUAUAGAUUAAUAUAGAUCUUUAUGUUGAUAUGGGUAGAAAUACAGAUAUACAAUUCUAUAAUUAUAGAACUUCACUUCGAAGCUCUGUAUCUCAAUUCCUGCUACGUUCUUCCCAAAGUACUCAGAAAAUUCUUCCAAGUCUCGUAACUCCUGUGAUUUAUAGCUGUAUGUUUGCCCAUUCUCUCUUUAAGCAUCUGAACUCCAGACACAUGACUAAUGAAUUCUUUUCUAAUCUGUGUGCUAUAUUAGUUUGAAUAAUUAGUUAAACUGCUUAAGUAAUGCCAUUUUUGAAGUCUCAUAGCAUUACCAAAUAGAAAUUAAUGUUCUUUUUAACAAGAAAAGACAUUCAUUAGAACACUCGUAUGACACAUUCUCCUUUGCAAUUUGGGCAUUUUAACCUCUUCUAUACAGUGUGAUUCACUUUUUAACUUUUAGAUUUAAAAAGUUACAAGAUUUGUGUUCUAAACUGUAUUUUUCCAUUUUUCAUUUUAAAGUCAGUAAUGCUGUCUUUUACUAAAAUUAUAAUCAUAAUGUCUUUCAGUAGAUAGCAAACUUUGGCCUCAGAACAGUUUAUUAGAAAACUGCGAUUGAUAUCAAACUACCUGAAUUUAAAGAAUAUGCAAACUGAAUUGCUAGAUGUUAGGUCUCACAUACAGACUAAUCCAUCAAAACAUUCCUGAGGUGUCUAUAGCAAGCCAAGAGUUCAGAAUUUAUUGAAAGAAUCAUUUAAAAGUAUCACACUGCUUAUAUAAAAUGGAAGUUCAGUAAAAAGAUAGAGGAUGAAAAGAUGAAGGAUCUUCCAUCCUGCAUCUUGCACACAAUGUAAAACUAAUAUUUUCUUCCCAGUGUCCAAUAUGAUUACUGAUCCAAAGAUGCGUAUUUUCAAAAUUAACUUUUAUCAAACCAAUUAAAGACACCAUAAUAGAAAAUUUAAUGGUUUGCCCUCCCUCAAAAAACAUAACUUUUUUAGCUGUAAUAAAUAUAAAUUACAUAAUUUAUGACUUAAAAAG
rnacentral:lncRNA from 1 species